rnacentral:sRNA from 1 species
CGUCCUGUGCAACCGCACGACUACUGUUUUGUAAGUGGGUUCGUCCCCGCAGUACUAGGCGAGUCUUCACAGAGGG